rnacentral:tRNA from 1 species
GGCGACGUGGCCAAGUGGUAAGGCAAGGCUCUGCAAAAGCCUGAUCACCGGUUCGAGUCCGGUCGUCGCCU